GAUGAACGCUGGCGGCGUGCUUAACACAUGCAAGUCGAACGGAAAGGCCCAAGCUUGCUUGGGUACUCGAGUGGCGAACGGGUGAGUAACACGUGGGUGAUCUGCCCCGCACUUCGGGAUAAGCCUGGGAAACUGGGUCUAAUACCGGAUAGGACAGUGGUUUGGAUGCCAUUGUGGAAAGUUUUUUCGGUGUGGGAUGAGCUCGCGGCCUAUCAGCUUGUUGGUGGGGUAAUGGCCUACCAAGGCGUCGACGGGUAGCCGGCCUGAGAGGGUGUACGGCCACAUUGGGACUGAGAGACGGCCCAGGCUCCUACGGGAGGCAGCAGGGGGGAAUAUUGCAGAAUGGGCGCAAGCCUGAUGCAGCGACGCCGCGUGGGGGAUGACGGCCUUCGGGUUGUAAACUCCUUUCGCUAGGGACGAAGCGUUAUGUGACGGUACCUAGAGAAGAAGCACCGGCUAACUACGUG
rnacentral:rRNA from 1 species